rnacentral:tmRNA from 1 species
GGGGCUGCUUUGGUUUCGACAUUUAAAAAUAGUUAAAGUAUGAUACAGGUCGAAGUUUGUAUUCUUCGUAAAAAUUUACAAAUAAAAAAUAAAUGCUAAUAACAUAACUCCUUUUAACUUUCAAACAGUAAAUUUAAAUAAAACUCAAACACUUUUACUACAAUUUGCUGGUUAAACGUAAAGAACUUUUAUUAACAAAAUUAGUGCACUAUUACUAGACGUUUAGUACUAAGUAGUUUAGAAUAAUUUUAUCAGUUGUUCACUUACAGAACUAUGCCUGUGAACGAAUACUUUAUUUAACUUUAGAUGGACGUGGGU